rnacentral:rRNA from 1 species
UGGUUGUCGUCAGCUCGUGUCGUGAGAUGUUGGGUUAAGUCCCGCAACGAGCGCAACCCUUGUCUUUAGUUGCCAUCAUUAAGUUGGGCACUCUAGAGAGACUGCCAGGGAUAACCUGGAGGAAGGUGGGGAUGACGUCAAAUCAUCAUGCCCCUUAUGCUUAGGGCUACACACGUGCUACAAUGGGUAGUACAGAGGGUUGCCAAGCCGUAAGGUGGAGCUAAUCCCUUAAAGCUACUCUCAGUUCGGAUUGUAGGCUGAAACUCGCCUACAUGAAGCUGGAGUUACUAGUAAUCGCAGAUCAGAAUGCUGCGGUGAAUGCGUUCCCGGGUCUUGUAC